GAUGAACGCUAGCGGCAGGCUUAACACAUGCAAGUCGAGGGGUAUAGUAGCAAUACUAGAGACCGGCGCACGGGUGCGUAACGCGUAUGCAAUCUACCUUUUACAGAGGGAUAGCCCCAGAGAAAUUUGGAUUAAUACCUCAUAGCAUUGCGAGAUGGCAUCAUUUUGCAAUUAAAGUCACAACGGUAAAAGAUGAGCAUGCGUCCCAUUAGCUAGUUGGUAAGGUAACGGCUUACCAAGGCAACGAUGGGUAGGGGUCCUGAGAGGGAGAUCCCCCACACUGGUACUGAGACACGGACCAGACU
rnacentral:rRNA from 1 species